UACAGAGGGUGCGAGCGUUGUCCGGAAUCACUGGGCGUAAAGGGUGCGUAGGCGGAAUGAUAAGUCAGUGGUGAAAUCCUGCAGCUUAACUGCAGAACUGCCAUUGAUACUGUCAAUCUUGAGUACAUUUGAUGUGGGCGGAAUGUGUCAUGUAGCGGUGAAAUGCUUAGAUAUGACACAGAACACCGAUUGCGAAGGCAGCUCACAAAACUGUAACUGACGCUGAGGCACGAAAGCGUGGGUAUCAAACAGG
rnacentral:rRNA from 1 species